CAAGGAGAGACUAACUGCUGUUUGUGAAGAAAUCUUCUCAGAGGUUCAAAAAACCAUCGUCCAGUAUGAGGAGGAGAUCAACCGUCAGCACAGACUGCUGGAUAUCAGCCGGAAACCCGACAGAAGCUCACACAUCAUAGAAGGUGAAGGCAUCCAUUCAAACGGGUCAGAGGCAUAUCAAGAAAACCAUUACAUGGGAACUACAUUACAGAGUUCCUGAAGACCUCCCACAACUACACGACUGUGUGGAAAAUGAGAGUGUGGAUGAGCAGCAGGUCUGUAACCAGGAGAUGAACUCCAGUUUAAUCUUUUUCCAGAUUAAAGAGGAACAGGAGGACCCAGAGCCUCCACAGAUUAAAGAGGAACAGGAGGAACUGUGCAGCAGUCAGGAGGGAGAGCAGCUUGGACUGAAGCAGGAGGCUGAUACCUUCAUGGUGACUCUAACUUAUGAGCAAAGUGACCACAGUGAACCAGAACCAAACAGUGAGCAGUACCUUCCUCUCAGCUCUCCUGAAGCAGAGCUGAAGAAGAGAACAGAUCAUGGUAAAAGUCUAGACGACACUCUUGUGUCAGACAGUCAGAGUAAAACUCAUACAAGGAAAAAUUCUGUGCAAUGCAACACCUGUGGAAAAAUGUUUCCCUAUAGAUCCCAUCUGAUUACACAUCUGAGAGUUCACACAGGUGAGAAGCUGUAUUCUUGUACCGUUUGUGGGAAAAGAUUUGGUCAGAAAUCCGAUUUGGAACGUCACGUAAGAAUUCAUACGGGGGAGAAACCGUAUUCUUGUGCUAUUUGCGGUAAAAAAUUCAGAGAGAAGUCAGGUAUGGAGCGACAUGUGAGAAUUCACACAGGUGAGAAACCGCAUUGUUGUAGCAUCUGUGGGAAAAGAUUCAUUCAGAUGAUACAAUUAAAGAAACACAUGAAAAUUCACACUGGUUAAGGUUUCAUGUAGGACAGCUGUGAGUCAUAGCAGCGUGUUGGUGGUAGAGCUCACACUGACCAGAAGUCAAAUUACUGCGACACCUGAGUGAAAAGCCAUUCUCGAAGUGAAGAGAGAAGCUCACUUAAAAAAAACAACAACCCAGAAACAUUGUAAUUCUUUAUCAAUCAAAACACAAGAGUGAUUUAUUUGUUGAGACUUUUAUUCGUAAAACAGAAGCAACAAAGGUCGUUGGUUAUAAAUUGAUAAUGCUGCCCAUUCAUACUUAGCAUUAAGGCUAAAGUGUGACCCACCUGCCACUGGGACACAAGCGUCAGUAAAAGAGCAGUACGUUCUGAGUAAACUAAUCAUGUUCUAUGUUGGUUGUAAUUCACUUUUUAUUUGAAUAAAUGUAUUUCUAUAAAUAUGUAACUUAACCUUCUCCUAAGUAAUGUAAAGCUGAAUUUCUGUUGUUAUUACUGCAGCCCACAUGCAGUACCAUCAUGGCCCAUCAGGAAGCACUGCCCUGCACUUUGCUGCCUUACUGUUAAAAUUGUUUCAGGGAAAACCUGACAUUCUUGCAUUUCAUGAAGGUUCUAGUUCAGUAUGCUCCUGUUCUUUUAUUUUAUUGUUUAUUGGAGUAAUUAUCCUUUGUCAAAGUUUAAAUAAAUAUUUCAUCAAAACCUCUUUUGAGUAUUUUUUUUCUGUGGUAUCUCUAGAAAAUGCUUUCCCCGCUCUGGAUUUCAGAUAAAUACGGCCCGGUGUAUUAUAGUUUCUGUUUGCCUUUCCAUCCUUUAACGAGAUGCACGAGUUGUAGCUGCAGUAACAACUUUGAAUUUUUUUUCUGAGUUUUCUCAUUGCUUUUUUCUCAUCAAAUCAGUCAUUAUUUGUAUUUUAUUAGAUUUUAUGUCAUUAUGUGGUACAGAAAAAUACUCAAAUUCAGAUUCCUGGUGCAAAAUUUGAGAUUGAGAUGAAAUUAACUCCAGAAUCCAAAGGUCUUGAACAAUAUGAAAAGAAAUAGCAUGACACCGAGGCAAAGACUCGACAACCAGAUAUGAGGAGGAGAGUUAAUUCACCCCCAGGGGGAAAUUUACAAAUUUCAGCAUCCUGGAUGAAUUUGAGGACGUUCUGUUCCUUUGACUCACCUUUUUCAGACUGAAGACAUGCUAUUAUGUUUUAUCUGUUUUUAUUUUUCAGUUACAGAAGAAAUGCAUUGAAUAAAACAAAGUUUAAUAUUAUUAUUAGUCUGAACUGGAUUAUUAUUAUUAUCAUCAUCACAGCAUUCAUUUAAGCAGAUUUCUAAAAAGCCAGCAGGAUAAAACAGAGUGAGACUUUGUGCCGAUGUAGAGCUGCAUGACUGUGCUUAAAGUGCCACAAAGUAUACAUCAAGACUAAAUAUAAGCACUUAAUGGCAUUCUGUGUUUUACAAGCUGUUUAUUGGGAAAAAAAACAACUUUAAUGUUCUGAUUGAGUUAGCUUAUUUUUGUAGAAAAUCAGGGGCUUCCUUUAUUUCCUGAGUCAUCAUUGCUUAUAUCUUCAUCCUUUUUCAGUGAGUGAAGUAAGGGACUUUUCCAGCGCAGUGUUUAGAGUGCUUCAUUUGGUGAAAGCUCAUAAUGCACAUUUCAGAUAACUAAUAAAUAAUUCAGAUCUAAGGAUAUUGAUGGAAUAAAAGGCACACAGUUAUGUGCUCAAUGUUCUGCUAAAUCCUCAAUACAAACAUAUUACACUGCAAUGUAAUGAACACGGUUACACAAAGACUGUCUGCAAAUAUGUAAUGGUAAACAUACUGGGUGCAGAAUUAAUUUAACUCCGCGGUCCCAGACCAGUUUAUGUCCGACAAUAUUUUCACAGAUCAAUACAACAAAAUAAAACCAGUACCGCUACCAGAA